rnacentral:rRNA from 1 species
UACGGGAGGCAGCAGUCGAGAAUCUUGGACAAUGUACGAAAGUAUGAUCCAGCGACGCCGCGUGGAGGAUGAAGGAGCUCUGCUUCGUAAACUCCUUUUAUGAGGGAAGAAGAUCUGACGGUACCUCAUGAAUAAGCCACGGCUAACUACGUGCCAGCAGCCGCGGUAAUACGUAGGUGGCAAGCGUUGUCCGGAAUUACUGGGCGUAAAGGGUGCGUAGGCGGAUAUUUAAGUAGAAAGUGAAAGGUUGGAGCUCAACUCCAACAUUGCUUCCUAUACUGGGUGUCUUGAGUUUCGGAGAGGAAGAUGGAACGACACGUGUAGCGGUGAAAUGCGUUGAUAUGUGUCGGAACACCAAUAGCGAAGGCAAUCUUCUGGACGAAUACUGACGCUGAGGCACGAAAGCCAAGGUAGCGAACAGGAUUAGAUACCCUGGUAGUCUUGGCCCUAAACGAUGUUCACUAGGUGUCGGGGAUUUUUCUUCGGUGCCGCAGCUAACGCAUUAAGUGAACCGCCUGGGGACUACGACCGCAAGGUUGAAACUCAAAGGAAUUGGCGGGGGCCCGCACAAGCGGUGGAGCAUGUGGCUUAAUUCGAUGCAACGCGAAGAACCUUACCAGGGUUUGACAUGUAGCUGCAAGCUGCCGAAAAGCAGUCGCUUUCGAAGGUGCUACACAGGUGGUGCAUGGCUGUCGUCAGCUCGUGUUGUGAAAUGUUGGGUUAAGUCCCGCAACGAGCGCAACCCUUGUCAUUAGUUGCUACGAAAGGGCACUCUAAUGAGACUGCCGGUGACAAACCGGAGGAAGGUGGGGAUGACGUCAAGUCCUCAUGGCCCUUAUGGGUAGGGCUUCACACGUCAUACAAUGGUACAUACAGAGGGCCGCCAACCCGUGAGGGGGAGCUAAUCCCAGAAAGUGUAUCGUAGUCCGGAUUGUAGUCUGCAACUCGACUACAUGAAGUUGGAAUCGCUAGUAAUCGUGGAUCAGAAUGUCACGGUGAAUACGUUCCCGGGUCUUGUACACACCGCCCGUCACACCAUGGGAGCGGGUUCUGCCAGAAGUAGUUAGCCUAACCGCAAGGAGGGCGAUUACCACGGCAGGGUUCGUGACUGGGGUGAAGUCGUAACAAGGUAACC